rnacentral:ncRNA from 16 species
GGGUGCUAGCUGCAUGAAGCAGUGAUGCAGGUUAAACAGCUACGCAGGUCGGGCCGCCUUGCG